CCCCUCUCAGGGUCGCACCUGGAGAGUUUCCAGUACUCUACCAGUCUCAGCUAUGGGAGGGAGAGUCGAGCAGAGGCCUAUCCAUUCCGUUCCUAGGUUGCGCAGGGGCUAGCGAGUGGAAGGCCAACUGCUACAAGU
rfam:Ornithorhynchus anatinus chromosome 2, whole genome shotgun sequence.